AUUGAACGCUGGCGGCAUGCCUUACACAUGCAAGUCGAACGGCAGCGGGGGAGAAGCUUGCUUUUCCUGCCGGCGAGUGGCGAACGGGUGAGUAAUACAUCGGAACGUGCCCUGUAGUGGGGGAUAACUAGUCGAAAGAUUAGCUAAUACCGCAUACGACCUGAGGGUGAAAGUGGGGGACCGCAAGGCCUCAUGCUAUAGGAGCGGCCGAUGUCUGAUUAGCUAGUUGGUGGGGUAAAGGCCUACCAAGGCGACGAUCAUUAGCUGGUCUGAGAGGACGAUCAGCCACACUGGGACUGAGACACGGCCCAGACCCCUACGGGAGGCAGCAGUGGGGAAUUUUGGACAAUGGGCGAAAGCCUGAUCCAGCAAUGCCGCGUGUGUGAAGAAGGCCUUCGGGUUGUAAAGCACUUUUGUCCGGAAAGAAAUGGCUCUGGUUAAUACCUGGGGUCGAUGACGGUACCGGAAGAAUAAGGACCGGCUAACUACGUGCCAGCAGCCGCGGUAA
rnacentral:rRNA from 1 species